ACAACUCUUUAUGAACAAUGAAAACUUUUUCAUAUUUUACUUGUGUCUGCAUCUAUCAGAGCUCUGAAUCCAACUUAACUUUCCUUUUCUUAACUCAUUCUUACACAGUUUAUUGUUUUCUAAAGUGUUGCAGAUAACACCUUGUUUGGACCAUAAAAUACUAAUACUUAAGAGGAGGAACAUUAAUAUAUAGCUGUUCAAAUUUUAUGUCUAGAUUUGAUAUCCUGAGAAAAAUGUACAACUUUAAUUAAAAAUGUAUGAAAUUUCACAUUAAAGGAAAUCAUGAGAGACCUGAUAGCUAAGUCUAAUACUCCAUCAUAUGCUGGAUCCCGUUAGAGUGACUAACUGUUCUGUUUAAUCUUGAACUGACAAGCUUCCUGGGACAUGGGACUUUCAGGGCUAAAACACGGACAGUCAGACUACACAUACUGGUUCGGGAACACACACACACACACACACACACACACACACACACGCGAAAGAGGAAGGGAGAGAGAAUGAAUAAAUUAUAAAGCAAAUGGCAAGUUAUGACAAAUAAGUGAAUUGGUAAAGUGUAUAAGGCUCUUCCUUGAACUAAUUUGUGCAGCUUUUUGGGAGUUUGAAAUUAAUUUCAAAUUUUUAAAAGUUAGGUAAACAAAAACUAUGUAGAUAAAAAAUUGUUGAAGUAAGUACGAGAUUCUAUUUUGUCUGGCACCUAGAGUUGCUACCCAGACUUGCUCAUGUCCUUUCUUGUUGCAGUCACACCACACUUCCUCUCUGUCCUUUCCCCAUAACACAUUCUUCAGCCUUCAUUUCGUUCCAGAGAGAGUCUGUGCACUCUCAUCCUAGUGAAAAUUGCACAUAUUGACCAGGCUGAUUGAAAUACCCUUUCUAAUCCUUUUACUGUGUCUCCCAUUAUCUAGUUAAUUUUGAUUAAUAUUUAGAUCAGUUAACUUUUUUGCUUUCUUUAGAGCCUGUGAGAAACAAUACUCCCAGAUUAAGUCGAAUCUUCCUAUUACCAUCUUUGUAUGUGUCAUGUAACCCUUACAACAUUGUUAACAUUUAUUUUUUGUGAUUACUUGAUGGAUGUCUGCCUUGUCCACUAGACCUGAUGAUUUUAAGUGUCAGAAAUAUGCCAGUAUCCGUUCACCAUUUUACCCUCUCUGUCCAGAACCGCAUCAGACACAUGGAAAGGAUUCCACAAAUAACUUGUUAAGUGAAUGAAUUCUGAUUCACCUGGCUCAAAAUUUCUUAAGAAAUAAUCAUGCCAUGCUUUUGCUCAGGGAGUGUGACCACAGUAUCUGGGAAUACUGCUAAAGAAGCAAGAACGCAAGUGAAGAUUGAAUUUGCAGAUUAGGGAUACGCUUUUUAUAAACAGUAGAUGAAAAAAGAAUGUAUAGUCAGGUAAUGGAGACACCAUUGAAAUAGAAGAGAUUUCAACAUGCUUCAAUAUACUUUUCUAGAAAGAUGUAGCUGUAGAUAAGAAAUAUGAGGUCAAGGGAAAUUUAUUUCUCAUCUCACAUGGAGAACACUAAGAAGUGUUACAGGAAAGCGAAAAUAAACAUACGAUCCAACAGA